GGAGAGAUGGCUCAGUGGUUAAGAGCACUGACUACUCUUUCAGAGGUCCUGAGUUCAAUUCCCAGCAACCACA
rnacentral:tRNA from 1 species